CCCUGAAAUAUAUAAAAAGAAGUAUAUUAAAACAUGUCAAUACAUGAUGGCUUGAUGUGCUCAUUCGCUGUCAAUGGGAGCUUGAGUUCGCACAGAGUAGCUCUGUUUCGUGCUGCUGUUCUGGCAGCUGAACGGGCUUAAGGAUUCUUUAGGAUAUAUCUCUUCGUGGAUAUUAUGACAUUUAAAAAUUUUUAAAUUAUUUAAGUUUAAAUUAUUUAAAUUUAGGUAUUAGAAUACCUAACAAAAUACCUGACAUUUAGUAAUUUCAAAAUAAUAAUUACUGUAUACUUUCUUUUGUUAGUCUUUCUUUUAAAGCAAAAUAUCUGACAUUUAAAACAACUUUAUUUUGUGGUAUAAGUGUUUUGCCUACAUGUAUGUCUGUGCACCACGUGAGUACAGUGCAUAACGGAGGCCAGAACAGAACAUUAGAUCUCCAGGGACAGGAGUUAUUGACAACUGUUAGCUGGAUGCUGGGUGCUCUUAACCACUGAGCCAUUUCCCAGCUCUGGUACACUGAUAUUUUAAAUAGAAACCCCUGGCUUUCACAGCAGGCAAUCUAAUAGAUAAGUUUAACAAAUGACUUUUCCCCCAAAAGGGCUUGAUUUCUACUAAUUUUUCUCUACUAGCAAACUUAGUCACUUAACUCCCCAUGCCUACCUCCAUGUUUGGUAGAUGUGCCUUCGUAUAUAUACAAAUUAAUUGUCCCCCAAGUUUCUGGACUAUAGACAGACAGUAAGCCAUGUUGUCUGUAAGAUACUGGUGUCUUAAAAGCUAUGAUGCCCUGACCUCUGGUGAUAAGCAAGCUAUCUGACUGGAGGUGUACUUGUAAUAAGAUAAAUUUCUCUUAUUACCAUUUUACUGUUUAGCUAUUCGAUAUUUGUCAUAUAAAUACCUGUCUUCAAAGACCAUUCAACAUCAGUCAUUAAGCCCUGUAUCUAUGUGUCAUUAAAGCAAAAUACCUAAACAAGUUGUGACUAAAACUAACUCAGUCAGAGUAAUUCCCAACUUCCUAGACCCUGGCGUGACAAGUGAGUUCUAGAAGCAAGGGCUUGAAGAACCAACUUUAGACCUCCAACCACAAGUCACACUGGAGUCAAAGUGGGCUGAAGAGAAAAGUGGCCGUGCUUUACUCUAUCCGUUCAUCCCGUAGGAAGCACUGAGAGAACUCUUAACCCACUAAUGCUUCCACACUAGAUACUAGAGGGAGUCUGGAGAACAAGUACCCAACAGAUCUCAGCCACUUUAAACGUCUUCACUCUUGGAAUCACCUGGUCCAGUACUAUGAACUAUCAGAAAACAACUUAAGGUUCUCGCCUCCCACCAAGUGGAUCUGAAGGAUCAAACUUAGUCCUCAGUCUUGAGAGCCAUCUCACUGUCCCUUCAAUCUAUUUUUACAAUGAAGAAAAAUGCCAAUGAUACUAAAACAAUGGUGCAGAAAAAUAAAAAUCCUGAGAAAGACAGCUGUAAGAUGGGAUAUCUACAACCAUUUAGAAGACAAAGAAGACAGAAGCUGACAGCAUUUACACUCUUGUCAAGUUCUGACAGUAUGUGAGUCUCAGCUGUGUUAAUUCUAAUUAAUGACUUUGAUGUUAGAGAAAUGUCAUAGCUAAUGUACAAAGGGCAAUGGACUCCUUGUUCUUCUGGGAACUGAUUCUCAUAAAGUAGCAUCCCAUUCUGCUAAUUAUUUUGUUUAGACUUACUCCUUUCCUAGAAUGAUGGAAAACUAAUUAUCAAAUACACAUUUUAUAUGUUUAUCUCACUAUAAUUUUAAAUAUCUUAAAAUAUACUUUCCUUUAUGUAGAAAGUACUAUGUGCAUUAACAAUUACAGCAGUCACUGCUGCAAACUUCAUAAUUUAGACAUUCAGAGCAGUGCUUCAACGUUUGCUUAAAUACAAUGUAAAGUGUACCAAGUCCUCAACUUAUUGUUCUAUUUUAAAAUCAUCUAAGAGUAAGGCCGUAGAAAGGGGAAUAGGAUUAAAAUUACCACUUUAAUCUGGUCAAGGCCAUUACUUCAAAGUUUAAUUUUCAAAUUGCAUUAUAAUGUUAAAUUGUACCAUGGUUUCUAAAACUAAAGUAGGGUUUUACCCAAUCGUGAAAGUUUUGAGUUCAUAAUCCCAUGAAGAUCCCUGCAAGUAUGGCCAUUGCUUCUGCAUCUACAUCUCUUAGCAGUCUUAAAACACUGUGAUUGCUUCUUGUCUCCAUGGAACUCCUAUAUUACAACAGCCUCCAGCAAAAGCACGAACUUCAACAUGAGGUUUUAUCAUCUUACUAAGUAAAGAAUUUGCUGAGUUAGAAAUGUAAUCUGGGUUAAUUUAGACAGGACAGUCAAAGAGUCCACCCUGUCUUUCCUAGGAAGUACUUGUAUGCUAUAAUCUUAACAUGCAAUGGGCACACAAAGAUAAAACAUAUGGUCCAGCUCUCCAGGAUUCUACUGUCUAAUAAAGGAAUGACACAUAAGCUAUUUUAGUGCAACAUAGGAAGCCAUAGUAAAAAUAGUAUAUUGAAAAUACACAAAGCCACAAUGGCCAUUUUAAGGGACUGAGGAGAUUCUUAUAGACAGGGAUAUGUUGGCUGACUAACCAAACUAGGGAUAGGAGUACUGGUGAUCCAAACAAGAGUCAAGGCUAAGGGAAGGCAGAAAUAACCUGUGUAAGGACAAACAGGCAGAUGACAUUGUUUCAGAUAUAAAAUUUUAAAAGGCUAAGGAAAGGGAGGGUGUUAAGGAUCACAUUAGAGGUGUUUAGGGAUACUGACAGUGUGCUCACUGUGUAAAUCAGUGACUAGAUUUACAAGUAAGAGACUAGCAUUCCUCUGAAGCAGCCUGAAGCAGUGAAUGACAUCAGCUACAAGUAAAUAGCACAGGAGAAAUCAAUAAUAACAUAACAGACAAAGUCAUAGCACAGGAAUCUACAGCUGCUUCUAAAUGGGUACAGGAAUGGGCCUUACUAGGCCUUUCUGGCCAAACUAUUAUUAUAUAUUUUUUACUUAAAAACUGCUGGUGAUCUUAAAACUUAAAUCUCAUUUCCCUUAAAAAUAAAUUAUCAGUUCCAAAUGUUUAGCUUACUUAAAACUAAUGAAGUCAAUAGAGCUCAUGAAGAAUGCAGAUUAGUCUACUGUAGCCAUCAAAAAGGGUCAAUUAUAAAAACCACAUUUAAAAUAAAUGUACUCGUUACAGAAACAAAUGACAAGUUUCUUAUCUUUUAAUAUUUCAAAGCAGAACACCACAUCUAAGUGGUUCUUACUGCUUUGUUACCUUUGAAAGACAUCUGCUUUGUACCAAAAUGAAUAUGCUGAACUUACCAGAUUACAUUAUAACGCAUUUUUUAAUUUUCACACAGCCAGGAGUCUUUUCUUCUUUGCUGAUUUUUUUCAAUCUGUACUGUCGGAUCUCUCUCACCAAUGUAUAAAAAGCAUCCUCCACUCUCUGCAUUGUAAAACACAACUUCUUUAAAGUCUGUUUCAUUUGGAAGAGUAAUUUAUUGGGAUAGCCAUGUGUAAGACCUUUGAAUUAUGAGCUUUACAGUUGAGAAAUUUGUGUUUUGUUUUUUUUUUUUUAAAGCAGACAUCAGACUGAAUAAAAUUGAGGAUGCAGGGUUAAAACAUGAGCUAGAAUCUGGUUUGUUCUUAAAAGUGUUUACAUAUUUUGGUAUUAAGAGUUUAAGUGAAAAGCCUAACUAUAUGUGUAUGUUUCUCAAUACAAGAGUUUAAGUUUGAUGAACUGCAGUUAGGAAGGUGCAGACUUUCCCUGGAUAAAGGAAAGACUUGUGAUUGCCACUGAUGCCCACCUUUGACCCAGUGGGGAAGCGAAUGAAAGGCAUACUAGGAACCUGAGGCCUUGUUAAAACCAAACCCCAAAAUCCAUGUCCUAACCAAGGAGAGUCCAGAUACUCCUAUAGGACCCCCAGUUUCAUCUUCAAUUAGAUAGUUCCCAGUCAAUUUCUAGUCCUUUUGAGACUGCUACCACAGAGAAUGGGAGGUUAAAAUAUUUAAAUGAGAAGUGAAACAGGGGCCAGUUGCCAAGACAAGAAAGCGUCACAAACCACUUAAAAUAUAUAGAAUAGGAGCAAUGCACGUCUCCUUACAUGUCUCCCACAGCCUGCAGAGCACUGUUCAGAUGCACUCAACCUAUCCUGUCCUUCAUAUGCUUGAGUGUUUUGCCUGUAUGUAUGUCUGUGCAGCCUGUGCACAUCUGAAACCGCCAAAGGUCCUAAUGAAUCUGAUCUCCUAGAACUGAAGUUAGCAAUGGUUGUGAGCCACCAUAUGGGUCCUGGGAACCCAGAUCCUCUGCAGGAACGGUGCUCUUAACUGCUGAGCCAUCUCUCCAUCCACUCCAUCCAAUGGGAUGUUCUGAUUUAGAAUCAUAAAUAGCCUUUAUGAAGAAAAAGGUUUUCAACUUUCUCAAAGAAAAAAUCAGGCAACAGCUUGAAAAGUGCAAAGUACUUAUAAGUGUAAUGCUAGUUUCUUCAGAAAAAUUCAACAAAGUUUUUAUCUAAGAGCAAUAUCCGGAAAUUUCACAUAUAAAUAAUACAAAUUUAACUUCAGAUGCAAUACUGAUGUCCACACUUCUAAAAAAGAUAAAUACUGGGUUGGGGAUUUAGCUCAGUGGUGGAGCGCUUGCCUAGGAAGUGCAAGGCCCUGGGUUCGGUCCCCAGCUCCGAAAAAAAAUAACCCCCCCCCAAAAAAAAAGAUAAAUACUUAUGUAAUAAAAUAUGCCAGAUUUCCUGUUUAAUUUAAAACAUUUCAUUUUAAUAGUGAAUUGCUUGUGUCAGUGACUGGUUUAUUUUUUAUUUUCUAGAAUUGGUAAAAGUCAAUGUUUCCACUGAACCAAAUAUGAUAAAAUGCACCUAGCACCUACAAAGCAACUAAAAACUUGAGAUCAGGCACUUGGCCUUAAGGGCAAUAAGCCAACAGCUAGUGCUUGAGUUUUUCAUGUAUCAGUCACUUGCAGCCUUUAAUAGUGAAGUUAUUAGAUCAGUUAUUAGAUCAGUUAUUUAGGGCAUAUUACGUUUUACAAAUCUCUAAAGUAUAUUAAGAACUGAACCAGUGAAGUUCAGUAAUUUACCUUUAAAAUUCAUAAAAUUUAGUUUCAGCAAAGGAGGCAUUUAAAUAAUAUGAGUCCACAUUAAAGUACAAACUUCUAGCAAAUACAAUACGCCAUCCAGUGAAAAUAAGUUAGAGUAUUUUUAUUACUUUCAAUUUUUUCAGUCUUAAAUUAUUUUCUAAUAAUAAAAUUAUUAUAGCCCCAGAAAAAUCUUCUUUAAAAAAUUUGUGUUUGUGUGUGUGUUUGUGUGUGUGUGUGUGUGUGUGUGUGUGUGUGUGUGUGUGUGUGUGUGUGUAUGCGCGUGCGCACAGGUAGGUGUCUUUGGAGGCCUGAAGAAGGCACCAGAUGAACUGGAGCUGGAGUAACUGGUGGGUGUCAGCUACCCAAGUGGGAGGUAGGAACCAAAGCCAGGUCCUCUGCAAGAGCCACCAGCACUCUCAACCCCUGAGCCACCUCUCCAGCAUCCCAACCCAAUUUUAUUUUAAUGAAAUCAAUUUAAAACACGACUUAUCCUACCAAGAAAGAAAGCAUUUCAACUUUUAAAAACCAUUAAAUGUCAGCAUUUGAAAUAAAAUCCCUAGUUGUAUCUGAGUGGACUAGCUCUUAGUAGUUUUACCAUUCAUUUUCAAGACAAAGAAAGCUUUCCUUAUUCUUUACUCUUCUAUCACAAAUGGUCAUAUGAUAUAAAGUAAGUUAUUUAAGAUAAAUGACUUGCAAAGUAUUUAAAAUGUAAAGUAUGACUGGUCAACUUAUAUUUCAUAAAUAUUCUUUUUUAAUUCGAAAGUCAAUGAAAAAUUUUCCAAAUAUUUACACAUUUCUUUAUAGAAAGAGACAAACCAGGCAAAAGCUCAUAUUUUCUUAAGAUCUUAAAGAAUGUAAAUAUUCCUUUUUAUAAAAAAGUUCAAUGUUAUUGCAAAGGUCAAUGUGCUAUGAAGGAAGGGAGGAAAAAGAGGGAGGGUCUUUGUCCUCUAACAGAAGCAAAAUUUGAUUGUAACACACUUCUAAGUCAGUUUGCUGUGUCUGCUGCUUUAAUGAAAGCUUCCCAUCACCGACUCAGACCGUAUGAUUGUUGUUUCCAGCAAUGCAGAGAGAGGAUUGGAAGCCAAUAAUUAGACAACCACAACCACCCAUCACCAGGAAUUUAGCAUUAGGAUCUCAGUAGCCAAGAAAAUUAAAACCAAGAAAUGUUUACGAUUCAAAAACUUUCUCUUUCUUAGCUUUAUGAAUAUAAAAUUCAUUUUAAAAAGUUAUUUACCACAUUUUACAUACUUUGUUAUUCCUUGAAAAUAAACUUCAAAGUUACAUAGAUAUCAAUCAAGAAAACUUGAAAACAUUGUUAUUUAUCCUUGCCCUACCACCAACACCAGCUUUUACUUUUAAAUACUUCAAAAGCUACAUGGCUAUAAUACGGAAUAUUGAUUUAUUAUUACAAACUUUGAUUUAAUUUCUAAAGAUAAGGUAAUUAUAACUACUUGCUUAACCCCUAAGGACACAGUGAUAUAUUUGAGGAUAUGACAUACCACCACACUUGAACACUUUCAAAUGACUUAGUGAACUCCAAGGGCAAAUGAAGAUAUCUAUACAUAAUCAAGACUAUCCAAGUUUAAGUACGUAAUUCCUUUCUAAACUAAGAGAUCUGGCAAUGUUUCCAACUCAAAGUAGACUGAGACUAUGGAAACAGAGCACCCUGUAGACCUGUUAACAAAUAAUAUUCUCUAUCUGUUCUCUGUAAGAUUAUGAUUUAUUAAGUAUUUUAUUCCUGUUGAAGCUGUAAAACUUGCAGAAAUCUGUCAGGAAGAUAAGGUACACAUGCAGCAUCAGCUAUGACUCUACACAGAUGCAAGAACACCAGCUCUCUGAGGGAGGAAUGGAGAAACCAGUCACACUUCUCAGUACCAACCUUUCCUCAUGUUUUCACAAGAAACCCCAUCAAACUAUAACCUAUCUCAAGUGCUACUGAAGUACAAAACAGCAAGUGUUCAAUAACUGUCCACUCCUAACUCAUACAAUUCAAAAUACUCAUUUCAUGAUUCUAAAAACUGUUUUACUUUCUUAAAUAGCUUUAUGAUAAGCUUUCUUUCAGAAAUGCCAUCUAUCAACUAAUUUCAUAUAUCUAGAAAGUAACUACAAAGCAAGAAAUUAAUCAGUAUUAGGUGAUUUUUAAGUUUUAAAACUUUCUAUACAGCUCAAAUUGAGAGCAGCAAAUGUAAAAAGGCUGGCCCACCCUUCUGAAAACCCUGCUGGUCAUCACCUGACAAACGCUCAGGUCACUUUUGGUUUUAGCAGCCUGGCAAACUCAUAGCCUUCCCACGAGUCUGUGUUUUAGCUGCAGCAGACUUUCCUAAGCACUGUCCAAAGAAACCAGAAAACUCUGUCAAUUACUAAGUGUCUUGAGAACUAUGAACUAGCACUCUUACACACUAGGGAUAGCCAAGCCACAUACUACAACAUAAGCAAAAAAUACCUCCUUUAUCCUUUAAAGGAGUAACACACUGAAAGGACUAAAGGACAAAAAAACCAGCUCAGCUCAGUACAGUACCACACAUCUGGAGUCCAGGGACUGAGGAAGGAGGACCACUUGAGCACAUGAGCUCCAGAAUAGUCUGGGCAACACAGCAAGACCCUGUUUCAAAGUGGGCAAAAAGCAUGUGGGUGUGCACAUGUGUUCACACACACAUGCUCACACCCACACCCACACAUUCUAUUAAUCAUUAUAUAGUGGCAAGGUAAUAUGCAUUUAAAAUUAGCAAAAAUGUACUGAUAAAAAUAUGUAUUCUAUAACCUAUAUCUUAAAAAUAGAAUAUAACUUCUUUCAUUAAAUAUAUGAAUUUAGCUUUAAAAUGGUAAAAUCAGCCUGUUGUAGGUCGAAGGUCUUGUGCAUCUACUGGAGUCUCAUCGGUUGCCUUCUAUAAAGGUUGAGACUAGCACACUACAACCUAAAGGCCAAAUACGGGCAGGGUCAACUGCUCUGGUAUUAGCUGACAAGCAGUUUUAAUUUUCAAGGCUUUUUUGGGAAAAUAAUGUUUAAGAUACCACUUUGCUCUCUGGGUCUCUGUAGAAAAUGCUUGCCAUGCCCUGACUUGUAUCACAGAACUUCUCAGUGAAAUGUUCAGUUCCUACCACCAUAAAUACAAGUCUGUGGUGCUUUUGUUAGGCUGGAAAAACAACAAAAUUUCAAGCAGACAAAUACAUUAAGGACGGGUAUAUGUAGCUAAAAUAACAAAUAAGCAGGGCUGGAGAGUUGGCUCAGAGGUUAAGAGCACUGACUGCUCUUGCAGAGGUUCUGAGUUCAAAUCCCGGAAACCACAUGGUGGCUCACAACCAUCUGGGAUCUGAUGUCCUCUUCUGGUGUGUCUGAAGACAGCGACAAUGUACUCACAUACAUGAAAUACACACACACACACACACACACACACACACACACACACACACACACACAAAUAAGCAAAUAAAAGACAGUAACAAAAUACUCCCCAAAAGGAGCUCCAAAUCUUCCCCAAAAUUGAAGGUAAAAUUUAUUAAAAUGUACCUUGGAUAUUAUAAAUUACCAAAAUUAUUUGGAGUAGCUCUUUAAAAUCUUCCAAAACUUUAAAAUAUUAAAUUAUUUUUAAGAACUAUUAAUGAUUUUUCAAAGCAAAUUAAUUUCUAAAACAAGUCUAGUGAAAAGUGAGCAUUCAAGUUAUAGUUAGGCAAUAUAUUGUAUAAAAAAAUCCAUAAAUUACGAAUAAAUACAAGAAGGGCUAAGCACGGCUUAAGAAGUGUCUGUAUAUCUUAACUCUAUACAUGUUAGACAACUUACACUAUCUAAAAACCAAAUUUAAGUUCAUCUAUUUCUAUACCGUAUGCCUUUAACCUGACAAAAUGAACUGGGCAUGGUGGCAUAUGCCUGUAAUCCCAACACAUGGGAGGUAGAGGCGAGAGUUCAAGGCCAGCCUCUACUACAUAGUAAGUCUGAGAUUUGCCUGGGCUGUCUCUGUCAAAACACAAAAACCAAACAUAAACAAAGCAAAACAAAUUUUUAAAUUUCUAAAUUUUUAAAGGUGUUGGUAGUAUGUGUGUCACAAAACACUGUUUUUUUUGGUUUUUUGGUUUUUUUUUUGGUUCUUUUUUUCGGAGCUGGGGACCGAACCCAGGGCCUUGCGCUUCCUAGGUAAGCGCUCUACCACUGAGCUAAAUCCCCAGCCCCACAAAACACUGUUAAAGCUAGAAAGCUAUUUUAAAAGGAGAGGAGGUAGUGUUCUAAAUCAAUAAUGAACUACAGUAUACCAAAGCAUUAAUGUCAAACACAAAUAAUAAAUUAAAUUUAAGCUAUUUAAGAGCUAUUUAAGGCUCUUACCAAAUGAAAGGUGGAGAGCAACCCAGAGAUGAUAAGCCAAGAGACUCCUUUCACUGUGCUCUAUGGCUUCUACUCAAACUGUGGCCCAACUCUCCAACCAGCACCACCCGACAAUGCAAAGGAAUGCGCAACAUGGGCUUCAACACAAACACAAUGUCUGGACUUUGACUUUAAUAAGGUCAGCUGAUUUGUGUGCAUAUUCUAGUCCAAGAGGCCCUUUCUUCUGUGUUUACAGCCAGCCCAGUCUCGGGCUUUUCCUUUUCUCCAUGAAAUGUCAACUAUGAUUGAUGUUCACUAGUAUGAAAGGUGCCUUUGCAAGUUUAAACAAUUGAAGGAGUAAAGUAUUAAUGGUAAAAUCUAUACAGUAUGUUUUCAAUAAAAUUCCUUACAUUGAAUUAUUUCAUAGGAGGACUUAGGGAAAAGUUACAGAUAUUAUAAUUAUAUGUUCUGGGCUGCUUCUAAAUAAAAUCAAGAAGACUUGGAAAUAGAACAUAGAAACAAACCUCUCGUGCCUUUGGACUGCGGGAUGGACUUGGAUAAAAUAGCUCCCUACCCUGAAGCCGAGUGAUGCACACCAAGUCUCUAGAAACUAAGUAAACUGUGAGCCAACUGGCACGCAGGAGAUACCCACAGACAGUCAGACUACAGAAACUCACUUUUUAAGAAUAUCUAGUUGCUUUCUAAAUAUUCCCUUACUUUAAUCACAACUUUCUCCCUGAAGAAUAGACCCUCAAAAACUUUCCGCCAAAAAAUAAUUCUUCAAAUACAACUCAACAAAUCCUAAAAACUGCUUCUAAAACAGGAAAGUCAAACUUUAUUCCAUCAUUCUGUCUUUAUCAUUUCAGUGGGAAAAAAUUUCCACAUUUCUUGAAUCCUAAAUGUAAAAUGUACUCUAGGCAGAAGAAACAAUUUCAAAAUGAAAAGAAAACGGAAUACCAGGCAUAGUGGAGGACAUCUGUCAUCCCAGCACCUGCAAGACAGACUUAGGGGACUGAGAGUACAACCCCAGGCUGGGUACAGAGACCAUUGCAACCCCUACCAUCUAUCUACACCCCCCUCUCUCCUGUGCACACAUGGGGGGUGGGGGGAUCCAAAGUAAUAUUGUGGUUCCUAGAUAAGAAGUACUAUCUACUUGAGAAGACAUUUGCCAAAUAAACAUUAUUUUCUAUGUUAGAAUAAUAGAAAGACUGGAGAAUCACAUGAAAUGAGGAACAUGUAACAAUAGUUAUGGUGGCAAGUAGACCCCAAUGACACCAUUUGGAAAUGGAGAACAGUGGUGAGCAUCAUUUGGAGCACCCGGCAGAGUAGACGCACAUCUCUCCGGUGGCACUCACCUGUCUUGUCUUCGCUGAGGUCUCAAUGAAUGGAAUCCCAUAACUCCUUGCUAACUCCUGAGCCUGUUUCGUGUCUACUGUUCUAGAAGGCAAGUCACACUUAUUCCCUACUAGGACCAUAGGCACAUCUUCAGAGUCCUUUACUCUUUUAAUUUGUUCUCUGGGGAAGAAACAAAUGGAAGCAGAAGCAUAAGUAACACAAAAAUACUUCAAACUUUGACCUCAACUUCAUCUUACAAAACUGUAUUGAAUCGUUUCUUCAUAUGAAUCCUAGUUUCUACCCUACCAAAAUGUCCUCAUUUCUCUUAUUUUCCCUCUAAAACAAAAACCUUACAUAUCUGUUUGUUCAUAUGCAUAUAUAAAAUAAGAAAUAUACUAAAGUUUCAAAUCAAAAUGUUUAAAAUAUCUUACAAACAAGAUAUAUAUACAUAAAUGUGUAUGUAUACAGUUGAAAAUAUUUUCAUCCAACAGAUAUGGUGGCUCAGGCCUUCAAUCCCAGCAUUAGGGAGGCAGAGGCAGAAGGAGCACUGUGAAUUCCAGUCCAGUCUGGAUAGUGAGUUCCUCGCAAGCCGAAGCUACAUAGUAAACCCUACCUCAAGGAAAAACUGUGUUUUCACCCCAACAUGAAUUAAUGGCAUCAACAUAACUCUGACAUUUCCGAGGAUUCUUCCCUACCAUCUGUGGAAUAAUCAACUUGGGAAGACAGGCAACAGUGAACAGAAAACUAUGAAACUUUCACUGAGAGGACUCCUAUUACGAUUAAUAGUGAUUACAGCAGCCCAUGUGUGCUGAGCCCUUACUUACAGGCCCAACAGUGUGCUAAGCACUUACAGGUACUACCUCAGCCAGUCUCUAGCUUUGUCUUUCUUUAUGAAUAGGGGAGAUGAAACAUCAGCUCACAUGUUAUCUGGGGAUUUACCUCUGCAGUGGUUUGCUAUUUUCUUAACAUGUAUUACAAGUACUUUUCACUGUUUAGUAAUACCUAUGGGGAAAAAUUAUGAAAUUUACUUUCUCUAUUAAUCGUCUAGCACUUUAUAUUAUUACCUUUCUAAAGAUUUAAAUGCAUUAAAGAAUGGUGUGUUCCACACCACUGUUUAUAAAGACUGUACACUCAGUUCUCAAGGAUAGCUAGAAAUAUGCAUAGUGGCUGGACAUGACCAAUUAACAGACCUGAAGAGCCAAGGCUGGGGCUUGGGUGACACGUGUCUGUAAUCUCAGAACUCACUUGGGAGCUGAGGCAUGAGGAUCAAGAGUUUGAGGUCAGAGUCUAGUGAAUCCAGUGUAAGGCCAGCCUAGGGUACAUGAUACUCUCUUAAAAACCUCCAAUCGACUGCAGAAGAGGGGAGAAUGUGAAGUACAUGAAUAGAUAAAUAGAUAAUUGAUAAAUUCACUCCUACCCACUAUGUUCCUAUACCCAAGAACAGUUACUGUGAUCCUAAAGGCCACAUUUGUGCUGGUUAUUACAGCUCCUUAAUCUGAAGCAGAAACAUUCUAAAGUCCAAAUUUUUGGAUUAAGGAUGUUCAAGCAAUAAAACUUGCACAAAUAUUCCAAAAUCCUUGGAACUGAAAUUUGAAAAAUGUUUGGUUCUAAACAUUUCGUGUAAGAUAUUCAAUCUGUAUAUAGUUUCAAAAAGACACCAGAAAAAUUGUUUUAUCUUUCUUUUUCUUCUCUUUGUUUUUUUACUUUUCCCUGAAACGGUAGUCCUGGAAGCUGCUGUGUACAGCAGUGUCUACACUCAAGAGAGAGGGUAGUCCUGAAGCUGCUGUGUACGGCAGUGUCUACACUCAGAGAGAGGAGCUACCUAUACGUCCAAGAGCUGGGAUCAAAGGCAGGCACUACCAUACCUGCUUGGUGGGUUUGUUUUUCUGAAAUAGAGUAACUAUGUAGCCCAGACUGUUCUCAAAUUCAAAAUUCUCCUGCCUCGGUCCUCCAAGUGAUAGAACUAACUACAGGUGUGUACCAACACAACCAGCUCAAUCUGUAUAUGGAAGAAGAUCCAGAGGGGGAAAAAUGUAUAUAAGAAUUAAACAGACAGAAAUAAAUGUUAACACUAAGCAGGACAAAGUAGAAUGGUACUACACAAGAGAUCAACUUUGCCUUAAAGACAGGGGAAAGGAGGUCACUUAAGACAGGAGCCGAGAAAACAUACAAGUACAAUUCAUCUUAACUUAGUGGAGAUAAAGGUAUGUAGCAGGGAGUAAGACAGAUGCUCAAGCAAAAACUAAAUGUGGGAUGUCUACAUGAGAGAACCUUUCCAUAAAAAGGAAUGAAAUUUGUAACAACGACCUGGAAUCAUGUAUGUAAAAAUCAAACACAAGGCCAGGUAACAGUGGUGCACACCUUGAAUCCCAGCACUCGGGAGGCAGAAUUCAAGGCCAGCCUGGUCUACAAAGCAAGUUCCAAGCCAGUCAGAACUACAAAGAGAAACAUGAGACUAAAGAAAUACCAGAUACAAAAGCUACAUUGGAUGAUACAUGAUUCCCUUAAAUGACAUAUUAAGAAUAUGCACAUGCGGGGGCUGGAGAGAUGGGUCGAUGGUUAAGAACACUGACUGCUCUUCCAGAAAUCCUGAGUUCAAUUCCCAGUACCCAAAUGGUGGCUCACAACCAUCUGUAAUGAGAUCUGAUGCCCUCUUCUGGUGUGUCUGAAGACAGCUACAGUGUACUCAUGUACAUAAAAUAAAUCUUAAAAAAAUAAAAUAAAAAGAAUAUACACAUGCAAGCAGAUAGUAGUAAUGGCUGCCGGACUGGAAGGAGAAGGAUUUGGGGAGUGACCACUAAUGGGUGUGGGGCUUUCUGGUGUGCUGAGCAUAUCCUGGAAGUAGAUAGGUAGCAGUGAUGGUUAUGACUCUUAUAAAGGACUAGCAUCACUGGCUGCACACUGAAAAAGGUUAUUUUGUUCUAUGUGAUUUUCAGCGCAAUGUUUUAAGGAGUAGUGUAGAGAAGAUGAAUAUAAUCUUAAUUCCCAAUCUAAAGACAUUCUGACAUGCAGGUGCCUAGGACAGAAAUCUAAUCACCAGACAGGCCGGGAGUCUCCUGGCAGCUUCCUUCAUGUGGUAUGGACUUGUCAAACUACUUCCACCUCCCACCUGCUCCAAGCCACUGUUCUUUCAGGGACAACAAUGGAUACAAUCAUGCACAGGACAGUUAUUCAAGUGAGGAUUAAAAACAACAAAUAUAAAAAAAAAAAAAACAACAAAUACCCCUUCAUAAAAUGAAAAGUGCUAUACAAGUCCAUUCUUUCAUAUAGUACACCACGCCCGCCACUACUGACCACAAAGUGGGAUCCAGGUCACUGGCGAUUAGUGACUGCCCAGAAGCACACAGUCACUAGAGAUCUGUACUUAGAGUGGUCUUUACAGUUCUAGUUACCAUGUCAAACCACAACAGGUCUGGACAAAUCCCAGGAAAAACAAGCUAGAACUGACAGUUCAAGAUUUCUAUCUUGAUUGGUGAAUAAGAAUAUUAAAGAUCUUGUUCUCAUGAGAAAAUAUAAGAUCAUAAAAUUCUUUUGAAGUAGGAAUAAAGAAAACAAAAACUUAUUUUCUGAAUUCUAAGUUCUGGAAUUAGGAUAACUAACACUUUACAUUAGAGAAAAUGAAAUGUGCACUACUCCUUAAGAGAUAAACC